rnacentral:rRNA from 1 species
CACGUAGGGUGCAAGCGUUGUCCGGAAUCAUUGGGCGUAAAGAGCUCGUAGGCGGCUUAGUAAGUCGGGUGUGAAACCCCCAGGCUCAACCUGGGGACGCCACCCGAUACUGCUGUGGCUAGAGUCCAGUAGGGGAGUGUGGAAUUCCCGGUGUAGCGGUGAAAUGCGCAGAUAUCGGGAGGAACACCAGCGGCGAAGGCGGCACUCUGGGCUGGAACUGACGCUGAGGAGCGAAAGCGUGGGUAGCAAACAGG